rnacentral:misc_RNA from 1 species
GGCUAGCGGGCUCACAUAACAGAAAUAAGUGCAAUAGAACUAACUAACUAUACCUAUAUAUAUAUAUAUAUAUAAAGAAUCUUUAAAUUAUUAUUUAUAUAUUAUACUUAAUUUAUAGCAUUCAUUAGUUAUAGCAGAUUAGAUUAAUCAUAUUAGAGCAGAUCGGUACUAAGGAAAGGAUAAGAUAAGGAUGCAAUCCAGAUCAUAAUGAGACAUUUCUUUGGUUUCAUUCAGAAAGGGCAGAGGUAGAACGAAAAAAACCAAUAUCGACCGUUCCAGUAUUCAAAAUCGCGCGGGAAAACCGAGAGGGGGGGGCAUAUGUAUAUGUGGGAUAUCUCUAUCCAUAUUGAAUUGCAGAUACAGAAAUGAUAGAAUCAUUUCUGAUGGGACAAAAUACGGGUCCUCCGAUAGAGAUGAAAGAAUAUGGGCGAGAAAUGAAAUAGGAGUAGGCGCUUUUUCGAUAUUAGGAAUCAGUAUCUAAUGAUUUCAACGGUUCCGACAUAAAUACAUAAAUAAAUGAAAGAGGGAGAUGGGAUCACAAU